AAAUAUUUUCAUAACAUAAUUAAAUUCAAAUACAAUUAUUUGACCUUGUCAUAUCGUUCAUACUCAAUAUUUAAUACGAUGUUCAUAGGCCACACAUUGGCGUUAAGGCGGGUUUGUACUUACAAUCCCUAGAUAAGUAUAAAUGGCACAUCGUGCUUACAUACAUAUCAAACUAAAGCAAAUGCGGAAGCUCAUGACAGACUAAAUAAAGUGGAUGUGUUGGAUGGUGACCUAUCGGAUGCCAAAAUUGGUAUGUCAAUGGACGACCUUUGCCACACAAUCUUGUGGGCUAUUUAUCUGCACAUGGAACAAUAAACAGAUGAGUCAUCUAAUACUCAGUGUGGGGUGCAGAUAAAUUAGACAUAUAUAAUUGACAAAUAUCUGCAUAUAUAUAUAUGUUGGUAUAUGCCCUUGAGCCAAUUGGAUUGGUCAAGGAAUAUAUAUUGUCAUUUAAUGUAAAGUUAAUUGCAUAACUAUAUGUAAUAGAGGUUUUUCUUCAUGUCAGUACAAUAAUAAGAAGUUAUUAAUUACUAAUUGAAUGGAGCCCAUAGAACAUAAAGGCCUUGCAAGAGAAUUGUAAAGUUGUUACAAUUAUGAGCUCACUAUGCAUCAAAGCCAUGUUCCUAAAAUUGUUCCUGGCCAUUGCAUUGUCAAGACAUGGCAUGUGGGUGCUUGUUAAAGAACAAGUUGUCACGACUCGGAACUCCCAUUGAGCUCGUGACAACCGCCGCAAUGUCCCGAUACACAUUCAUUACCCAAAAUGCCAAUUGAAAUCUCGCAAGGCUUAACAUCAGUUUUCUCGCUUACCUUGUGAGUAUUAGUUACUGAAAUCAUGUUUUAAAGUGAUAUGAACCAAUUUCAAUUCAAAAACAGUCAAGAGAAAUUUCAACUACACAUGGGUAUUUUGGUUAUUUUUCUCAAAAAUUUCAAAACCAGCUAAAAUGUAGUAUAUGAGAGAAAUUUACACAUUUCAUAACCGAAAAUAAGUUUAGAUAUCUAAAACAUUCAUUAAAAGUGAAAUGAUAGCGAUUAGAAUAAAAUAAAAAUAUUGAAUAAAAUAUUCCAUUUUCUUAUAAAAUAAUUUUUAUAGAGAUAUCCGUAAAUAAUUUUUGUAGCGUAAAAGCAAAAUAAAUUCGUACAUACAAUAACACAGAUAGUCAAGGUAUGUAAUUAAAUUUACGAUGACAUGUGGGCCCCUAAAUGACUAAAAGUAAUGAAGGUUGUGAACCUACAGUUUUUGAGGAUGCAAGUCCAACUGUAGCCCUCAACGAAAUGAGCUAUCUACCGACUAUCCUGAGCCUGAAAUGGGUGGAAAGAAGGGUCGUGAGAUUAUAUAAUCCCAGUGAGUAAACAAAUACCAUCUAAAAUAUUUAAAGCUGAGUAAAUGGAGACAGAUAAAAUAGAUUAGCAUAAAAAUGAUUCACAGCAUUUCGAACUCAUUUUAAUAGGAUAAAAUAGAUUCAUUUCACCCAAAUAAACAACGAGGCUUAUGAUUUCCUGAAAAGCUUGGCUCGUGCCAAAAUCAUUGUCAUACUCAGUUAUCAAGGAUACCUUGACCUAAGGCUAUCCCAACCGAGUUCGCCAAGGUUAUUAAAAAGUCAUGUUCGCAUAAAUCAUGUUUUUAUUUUGAAAACAUAGCCAUUCCUUGGCGUUGGCUGAGUUCACCCUCACGUGGAGGUUUGGCGUGAAGUGAACUCUAAAGUUUUACCUCGAGAGUUACCCUACGCGCCUCCCCAACCAAGGUAUGAACAUAACGGGAUUUCGGGCCCCUCAAAAAGGCUGGUCCACAGAACCAGCCCACUGCAGCAAGCUAAACCCACCAUACCAUAAAAAUUCAACAACAUGACAUGACAAUUUUAUCAUUAUCCAGCCUAUCAAGGGAAACAACAGUUUAUACAUUUUCAGCACAUUUACCAAUUCAACCAUUCAUGCCAAUCUUAUCAUAAGCCAUUCAAUUCAAACAUAAUUUAUAACACAGCAAGUAGUUUCCAAUUACUCCAUUUUCAAAACCAUUAUUCAAUUUCAAGACAAUUUUAUAAAAUCAUUUCAUUUAAUCGCAUUUUGCAUAAAAUUACAAAAUAGCAUAAAAACAUACUUUAGAUAAUUAAGACGAUAAUAAGGUUAUUCACUGUAAUGGAAAUUGAGUUCUGAGUACUCCGAUUCUUGAUCCUCGGGUACUAUCUCUUUACUUUUGCCAGAAAGUUCACCACCUAGACAUAAUGCACAAUCAAGCAAUUCACCACAUGGGUACUAAACCGUUAUAAAACUAUAUGGAUGCAUGAAAUGGAAUGCAAAUUGUUCAGAUUAUCGUCUAAACACGGUGUUCUACACAAAUUCAAUUGUGUACCUAAAUAAAACGGUAUUGGCCUAAUUCGAUCUAUCACUCGAUUAAUUGGCCAAUAUGUCCAAUUCAACUCCAAUUAACUCCAUUUUUCUUCCAAUUCUCCAAACCUUCAAACACAAGUCAAAUAGCAUAAAAUUUAGCAAAAUAAUCUUCACAUUUUCUCUUGGGAAUUUCGGCCAUGGUGGAUGCAUUAAUACUAUAAUUUUUCCUACUUGAUUUUCUCACCGUAAUUCAUCAUUUCCUAACCAAUUCACUUGAAAUAAAAUCAAAAUCAUCAUCAAUAUUCUACAUGGAGAAUUCGGCCAAUGAGGGUUAUGGAAGAACAUGAAUUUUUCUUGGUUGCUUUUCAUGCUACACAUCACCAAUCAACUAAAAACACUAGAAUAUCCUAAAAUCUAACCAAAACAACCAUCAAAAUCUCUCUCUAAGUGUUCGACCAGCAAGAGACCCAUCAUGAAAUCAUGUGAUUCAACCAUGGAAAAUGCAAAAGAAUGUAUGGGAACGGUAGAUCACAAGUCAAAAUCAAGAAAUUUUACCUUUGAUUGCUUGAUUACUUGAAAUCCACUAAUUUUCUCUUGAAUUUUCACUCUAGGGUUUUUGUUCUUUCUUUUCUUCCUUUGUUCUUGCUUUGGCCAG
rnacentral:lncRNA from 1 species